AAAGUCGUAACAAGGUUUCCGUAGGUGAACCUGCGGAAGGAUCAUUAACACGUAUCCAACGUUAAACCCCCCCGUGAAUAUUAAUCGUGCUCUUGCUGCCCGGGAGGCCAGCAAUCCCUGGUAAAUCAAGUCGAACAGCUUUGAUUCAGGGACUUCUGCCCGACUGAGAAGAAUAACAGCGGCAAUCGAGCGCUGGGCAAGUGGUUUGGUUUCCCCUCAAAUUCACUUCAAUGAAUGCCAGUGUCAUUGAAGUGUGAUGGGGAGAACGCUUAACGAACGCUGUAGGCCAACACUGGCCGGCGUCCAGACCGCCGGGCGCAAGCUCCUUUAUCACCACAAGUCAGCGUAAGCCCUUCUGUCGUGGUUGGGCAUUAAAACGAACAACUGUUAACAAUGGAUAUCUUGGUUCUC
rnacentral:misc_RNA from 1 species